GUGCUUGCUUCGGCAGCACAUAUACUAAAAUUGGAACGAUACUGAGAAGAUUAGCAUGGCCUCUGCACAAGGAUGACACGUAAAUUCAUGAAGCGUUCCAUAUUUUU
rnacentral:snRNA from 1 species